rnacentral:rRNA from 1 species
CCCGCUGAAUUUAAGCAUAUUAAUAAGCGGAGGAAAAGAAACUAACAAGGAUUCCCCUAGUAAUGGCGAAUGAAGCGGGAACAGCUCAAAUUUAAAAUCUCCGUUGCUUGCAACGGCGAAUUGUAGUUUCGAGAAGCACUUUCUCGGCGGAUCCGAGGUCGUCCAAGUUGCUUGGAACAGCACGUCGUAGAGGGUGACAACCCCGUCUGCGGCGACCUCGGCCGUUCACGAUGUGCUUUCGACGAGUCGGGUUGUUUGGGAAUGCAGCCCAAAAUGGGUGGUAAACUCCAUCUAAAGCUAAAUAUUGGCACGAGACCGAUAGCGAACAAGUACCGUGAGGGAAAGAUGAAAAGCACUUUGAAAAGAGAGUUAAAAAGUACGUGAAACCGUUAAAAGGGAAACGAAUGGGGUUAGCAAUGCGUCGUGCGAGAUUCAGCCGGUGGGUGGGCCAGGCGGGCGGUUGGCGGAUCUGAAUGGACCGCUGCCGUUCGGGUUGGUUUCCCGA